UCCUGAUGUUCAGGCAUCUUCAAACCACUCACAACUCCAUGUACCUGAGGGGAGUCACAGAGAAUCUGGUUCAGUGAGGGAAAGAAACAUUUAACUCCCAACUUCACAUAACUCGCAUUCCUCUGUUUACUAUGAAGUCAUAGUUCAUAGUAUUACUCUCGAUAAUCUGGAAUGUCUGCAUCGGACCCAAGGAACACGCUGCAUUUUCUUCUUCUUCUUCAGGCUCUCAGUUCAUGAUGAACAAAUAUGGAAAUUUUUCUGACGGGGAAAUCCAACUACCAAAAUAACUCCUUCAUAAUUCACAUGUGCAAUCACAACGGUGAUUAAUAAAAACCUGAAACCGUUCCUAAAAGCCUCGAGCAUCAAUUACUCUGUUAGAUGGCAGGACUCUAUGAAAACCUACGACAGCAGGUUACUCAGGCAAAUUAAAUCAUGUGAACUUAUGGUGGAAAAAGAGAAAUCUUCCUUGGGUGGAUUUGCAAGCGGACAAAGGCAUGCUCUCAAAGAGGGGUGACCGCCGUGUGGCUCUUCGGGGCUCUAUAUUUCAACUUUGAAAGACAUCUGAAGGGGAAAAUGCCACUGCAAAUUGAAUUUAUGCUGGGAUGAACGCUCUACUGGGAUACACCCGACAUAAUAAAAGUACAACUGGCCUGGAACCUCUCAUUCAGCAAAAUUAUUGGAGAUUCUGCCAUGUGGCUGUGUAUGACCAGUUCAUUCAUGUUUAUUGUGAACGAUAUCCUGCAGUAGAGACACACAACGACUCAUCUUCCCAUGCACCUGUUGAUGGACAUUUCUAGUUUGAGGUUAAUCUAAAUAAAGCUGCUAUAAAGAUUUACACAUAAAUCUUUGUGCGGAUGCAUGCUUUCAUCUCUGUUAGAUAGGAAUUCUCUAGCAUUGCAUGGUUAGAUCAUGUGGUAGCUUAUAUUUCACUUUUUAACAUACUAUCACACUAUUUUCAAAGGGGUCCUACCAUUUUACCUUCCCACCAGCAAUGCAUGACUUUCAGUUUCUUUAUAUCCAUGCCAACACUUAAUAGGAUCAGUCUUUUUAAUUUUAUCCAUUCUAAUAGGUGGUGUGUUAUCAAGCUACAGAUGUAAUUUCACUUCCCUAAUUACUAAUGAGGGUGGGUAUAUUUCCAUGUAUUUACUUGCUAUCUAUACAUUUCUUUAGUGAAAUGUUUGUUCAAUCAUUUGUCCAUUUUUAAAAAAAAUUGGCUAAUCUCACUUGUCACUUUGACUGUUUUCCAGUCAAACUCAAUUCACAGUCCCAACACCGACACCUCACAUUUUCCUCUAAACUUUGCUGCUGUGUUCUGUUUGCUUUAAAUAACUUAAUGCUGCCUUCUCCUAUGUUUUGCCCAUCCAAGUUCUGUAUAUCCUUCAGCUCCCAGAUGGAGUGCUAUAUUCAUCCUCAAGUCUUCCUGAAUUUCAAUGUCCAGUUUGAAAGUACUGGUUUCCUCAUCUGAACUAUCAUAAAGUUCUCUUUCUUCUACAAUUUCUAACUUUCUACUUUUUGUUUUAU